UGAGGGCUAGGGAAUUAAUAGGAGUAUCGACUUCCUUCUUUCUCUUUCUUCUUUUUUCCUUUAAGAUUAGAAUCUCAUGUAGCCCAGGCUAACCUUGAACCUGCUAUGUAGCCAAGGAUGACCUUGAAUUUGUGAUACUUCUGUCUCCACCUCCAGAGUGCUGAGGUAACCGUCUUAUGUCACCAUGCUAGGUCUAUGUGGUACUGAGGACGGAGCCUAGGACUCUGUACCUGCCAAGGAUCCCAGAGCCCAAGUAUGUGGGGCUUUGGUUUGGUUUGGUUUUCUAGGGGAUACUAAGAAGGAAGCACUGGCCGCACCUUUGAAUAUUCUUUCAUGACAGAGAAAAAGAAGUCUAAGGGGAGACUGGGGGGUAAUAGUGGGUAAUGUUUCUUUUCUUCAGUGUGCAAAAAUGAAAAACAACUAUUUAAGCACAUUAUGUUUCAAAAAGCAAGAGAAGUGGCUGGGAAUGUAGCUCAGGGAUAGGACACUGGUUAGCCUGAGCAAGGUCGUGGGCUUGAUCCCCAGAGUGUCUACUCGACAACAGAAAAGUAAGGGGGCAGAGAGGGAACAUGAACGGUUAAGAGUGGGUUCAGAUAAGGAUGCAUGAAGAUGUAGCGAUGAAACGCAUUCGGUACAGUUAAAACGUAUUAAUAAUUCUUUUUAAGUGGAGAAAGAAGGCUUGGGAGAAGGGGCAAGAAGUUUGGGGAGACAAGACAGGUUGCUGCUUCUGUGGUGGCUUUAUGAGUCACCAGUACGAUGGAUGUUCUGACGAAGAGUGUGUAUAUAUCAUUUAGUAUAGCAGUUACGUCAUAGCACAUCCAUACAGAAUAACUCCUCUAGAUAACUGGUCAUCUCCACAUAGGCACUCCAGGGAGCUGACAGUUCAAGUCUUUGUAAUAUUCCUGUUCACCAUCUACUGCCGCCAGAGUGGGCUUUUUCCCAGGAUGUAAAUUUUUGCCAUCUCUCCCUGGCUUGAAACUUGGUAGUGAUCUGGCUUUACUCACCUCUCCAACCUGAUCUUAGUCCCCAGGGCUCCUUAGGUUUGCAGCCCCAGCCUCAAGAUCUUCUGAUGUCACAGAGCCGUCCAGUCUCUGCUUCCUUCCUGCUUCCUUCUCCUGAAAUGGCAUUUGCCACACUCCCCAAAUCAACCUAGUGAUUAACCUUACGUCUUAGCUUUGCUUUCAGGCCUCAUGGAAGUCUGCCUGGCCGGCUCCUUCCUGCUAGGAAGUGUACUUUGCUCAGCCCGUCAACCCGUCUUUUUGAUACUUGUCGGUCACAGCUUCAUUUAGCCUCUGUAUGUGAUGUUUCUCCUCCACAGCAGCUCUGUAAGCCACACCGGGGCAGAGCUCUUGUCUGUGUCUGUUCCCCUUUAUGACUGACUCAGUGCCUGGAACAUCAGAGGCACUCAAUAAAGAGUGUUGACUGGAUCAC
rnacentral:lncRNA from 1 species